rnacentral:rRNA from 1 species
GACGAACGCUGGCGGCAGGCUUAACACAUGCAAGUCGAGCGCCCCGCAAGGGGAGCGGCAGACGGGUGAGUAACGCGUGGGAAUCUACCCAUCUCUACGGAAUAACGCAUGGAAACGUGUGCUAAUACCGUAUACGUCCUUCGGGAGAAAGAUUUAUCGGAGAUGGAUGAGCCCGCGUUGGAUUAGCUAGUUGGUGGGGUAAAGGCCUACCAAGGCGACGAUACAUAGCUGGUCUGAGGGGAUGAUCAGCCACACUGGGACUGAGACACGGCCCAGACUCCUACGGGAGGCAGCAGUGGGGAAUAUUGGACAAUGGGCGCAAGCCUGAUCCAGCCAUGCCGCGUGAGUGAUGAAGGCCCUAGGGUUGUAAAGCUCUUUCACCGGUGAAGAUAAUGACGGUAACCGGAGAAGAAGCCCCGGCUAACUUCGUGCCAGCAGCAGCCGCCGUAA